rnacentral:rRNA from 1 species
CCUACGGGUGGCUGCAGUGGGGAAUAUCGGACAAUGGGGGCAACCCUGAUCCAGCCAUGCCGCGUGUGUGAAGAAGGCCCUCGGGUUGUAAAGCACUUUCAGUGAGGAAGAACGCCUGGUGGUUAAUACCCAUCAGGAAAGACAUCACUCACAGAAGAAGCACCGGCUAACUCCGUGCCAGCAGCCGCGGUAAUACGGAGGGUGCGAGCGUUAAUCGGAAUUACUGGGCGUAAAGCGCGCGUAGGUGGCUUGAUAAGCCGGUUGUGAAAGCCCCGGGCUCAACCUGGGAACGGCAUCCGGAACUGUCAAGCUAGAGUGCAGGAGAGGAAGGUAGAAUUCCCGGUGUAGCGGUGAAAUGCGUAGAGAUCGGGAGGAAUACCAGUGGCGAAGGCGGCCUUCUGGACUGACACUGACACUGAGGUGCGAAAGCGUGGGUAGCAAACAGGAUUAGAUACCCUUGUAGUC